rnacentral:rRNA from 1 species
GACGAACCGGACAAACGUUAUUCGGAAUUACUGGGCUUAAAGAGUGCGUAGGCGGCUAGGAAGGUGAGGUGUGAAAUCCCACGGCUCAACCGUGGAAUUGCGCUUCAAACCACUUGGCUUGAGGGAGAUAGGGGUGAGCGGAACUGAUGGUGGAGCGGUGAAAUGCGUUGAUAUCAUCAGGAACACCGGUGGCGAAGGCGGCUCACUGGAUCUCUUCUGACGCUGAGGCACGAAAGCUAGGGUAGCGAACGGG